GGCUGCCCGAUGGUAUCGGUUUUCACUUCUUUGUUCUCUCUCUGCUAGAUCACUUCAUCGUGAAUAAAUUUCACAUUGACAACGUUGUGUUUAUUGACAAGAAAAAAAAAACAGAAAUUCAAGAUAUACAUUUUUUCUGACUCAGUGAGAGAAACAGUAGAUAAAACGUGGAUAUUUUCUAUUUUCAUACAAACUUCAACUUGAAACUACAAGUAACAGAUUUGCCCAGCAGAAAUAAAUAAAACAGAAGAUAAUAAAAUAACCGAAUUCAAUAAAAUCGAGCGGAAGUGAUGUUUACGAGUUUACUGAAGUUUUCCAUGCCAAAUCGAAUACUCGAUGUGAUCUUUGAGAGUCAGAAAGGAGAUUACCAAAGAAGCAUAGCAAAACAUCAACAUUAAAAGACAUAAACACGUGAGAAAGUCAAGAGAGAAAACGACGAUAGUGAGAAAAAAGAUAAAUUGUCUUCAGCUAAAGUAAAUCAAGUCCCACGGCAUUUAUGGGCGUCUUUGAGCAUCAGCAGGACGUCGAAUCGUCGUCCUGGUGGCCACAUUUCAUCGACACAUCUUAAAAGUUAUUUGAAAUUUUAACGCACAAAGUUAUAUCAGAAAUAAAAGAAAAUUAAAUAUCCCCAAGGUCUAUAAAAUUUCAUUGCAUCGAUCAAAGAAGGGAAAUAUAAAGCCUCAAAAUGUUGCCGACAAAUGUCAUGUCUUUUAUGAAGAAGAUGGUAACAACACAACCAGAAACAGCUGAUGCUGUACCUUCGGAUGAUUCAGGAACGACAUUCAGCAAAUUGAGACAAUUGAUGACAGCAACAGGAAACGUUGGAAAAGCUGCACCAGUGAAAAUCACACCAGUUGAGGAUAUUGUACCUAAGGAAGAGGUGCCAGCUGUAGAACCACCAAAACCAAAACCAGAACCAGGGAGACCAGCAAGUAGAGCAGGAUCUUGUAGGGUUUGUCUCAAGUCUUUCAAACCCGAUGAUUUCUCACGUACUUGCUACGAGUGUCAGUUCAAGGUCUGUGAUGAUUGCGCCUCUUAUUCAGAAACAAAAGACUAUGAUGAUCCGUCGACGUGGCGAUGCAGUGUAUGUCGACGUAAAAUAGCUUCACGUGGUCAGCCGAUCGUGGCACAAGAAUCAACCGACUCUUUGCUAGAAGUUCCAGUCUUAGAGGCACUACAAAGACGGCAUAGUGAUGCAAGGCUUAGUUGUCAAAGUGGUGGACCAGCAGCUGGUCUUGGAAGUGCUCUAGCACCACCUAGAAGUCCCGAACUUAGACGGCACUCAGACGUAUCACCAGCUAGUCUUAAAGAACUUGAAAAGUUUCGAAAGGUUGCAGGAGAACGCCGCGAGGAACUUAGGUGGGAAAGGGAAUUGGAGUGGAGAAGCAAAUCACGUAGUGGUUCACCAGAAAGGCAUGGAAGUGAAAGAGCUAGAACUAGUAGUCCUCAGAGAAACAUCAAAACUUCUAUAGAGCAAGAAGGAGACAUUGGAGAAGAUGAAGAUGAAAGGAGAAGACGUGCAGCUCGUAGAAGUGGUGGUGGUGGAACAGUACGACGAAAGUCUAGAGUGACGAGGCAACAUUCAUAUGACGAUGAAAUAAAAUCAGCUGGUAAUGGUGGAGGUGGUGGAAGUCAAUCUAGUCAUUCGGAUGUUGGGCUUGGACUUCCGGUUCAAUUACCACGUAGAGCAUCGGCUUAUGACGUGUAUGCAACACCUGGAAGUGGUGGACUCAAUGCUAUGGCAAUAGCAGCUGCUCAACAACGGGCAUCAAUUUCUGCACAAGGCUCAAGGGACCCUGAAGAAAGAUCGCCUGGUAGAAGACAGUCAUAUCGUGCGGUGAAGCCAGUGAUGCCAUAUGAAAUGGGCAACGACGAUGAAAAGAUAAUAAAUUUAGAUGCCACAGCAACACCGGAACCUUCACCCGUACAACCUGACGAACCUCGACGACGAAGAGCUUCUAUGUUACCAGAUAUCAAUAUGGCAAGGACUCUACCAUCUGUACCAGGAUCUGUAAAACCAGCUCCAUCAGCCGUAGGACGAGGAGCUGCUCAAGAAGAUCGAGAACUAGCUUGUCAAGGAAGUUUAGCAGAUGGUGAAGGCAUCAAGAUUGUGAUACACGAUGUCGACAGUGACCUUGCACCACGGAUGAAUGCAAAGAAGAGAGUUGCUCUAAGGAGGGAUCCUUUGUUGAUGGACAAAGGACAUAGAACACGAGGCUUUGGCAUGCAUGUAGUUGGUGGAAAAGCUGCAAGUGAUGGACGAUUAUAUGCUUCUAUAGUGUGGACAGUGCCUGGCGGACCAGCGGACAAAGCAGGACUUCAAAAAGGCGAUAAGGUACUCGAAUGGGCAGGAGUAUCUCUCAUCGAUCGAAGUUUCGAAGAUGUGACACAGAUAAUUGAACGUUCUGGCGAUGUUGCAGAACUUGUUGUGGAACAUUUAGGAGAUAUGGAAGCAGAAUUAUUAGAUGAACCAGGAAUGGUGUCAACAUCAGCAAAAAAUUCAGGAAAUCUCGGUCUCCAAUUAGACUCGGAAACGGAUAAAACUCCUUCGUCACCGACCCGCAGGAAGCUUCCAAAGACGCCGGAACAAAUAGCAAAAGAACGACAAGUUACUGGACGAGUUCAAAUUCAUGUUUGGUAUGAAGCUGAUAGAAAAGAACUUGUAGUAUCAGUUUUAGCUGCUGAUGAACUUUGUACUAGAGAUGAUGGUUCACCACCUGAAGCAUUUGCUAAACUUAUCCUUAUGCCACCUUGUGGUGAUCAAAAUUCCCAUCAAACAGAUGUAGCUGGGCCGUCACAAAACCCUAUUUGGAAUGCUAAUUUAACAUUUCCGGGUAUAUCUGGUGAUAAAUUAAUGGACAGAACGAUUGAAGUAACACUUUGGGAUUGUCAUCCUGAUGGAGAUAAUGUUUUUCUUGGUGAAUGUGCAGUAGAUCUACAAAAUGCUUUUGAAACAGAUAGAGAAGCUUGGUAUCGAUUAGAAGACCCGCGAGGAAUACGUUCAGGAAAGUCACCCUACGCUUCGCCUCGUGGUUCACUAUCGAUGGAAAUAGCUCAACGUCUAUUGAGAAGGGAGCGAAGUUAUAGCGAAGAUACUCAAAGUGAUAGUGGCAGCCCAGAACCGUACUUCCUUCAUCCUGAUCAUGCUUGGCAGUCAAACUCGCGACGUGGAUCAUCACAAUCUGAACAACUGGAGAUAGAACCAUAUGAACUUAACAAAGACUAUAGCAGAUCUCUUCCAGGAAGCAGGAGAAGUAGCUUUCAGAGCCAAGGAGGAACUGAUAGUAAACGAGGAAGUAUUGUGGAUUCAGAUAUGCCACCUAUUUAUUACAAUCGCGAUCGUCGACGUAGUUCAGUAGCUCGUACAGUACGCGAUCCAGAAGAAAUGUUAAGAUCUUUAAAGAAAGUUGCAGCCAAAGGCGAACUAGGAAGAACGAUGAGUCUAUCAAGUGAUAAGAGACGAGGAAAUCUGCGAGCCUGUGUCUCCGAGGACCGGUAAUUCGGCUUCCUCCUCACUACCGCACUCCACACCACCCCGAUAAUAAAUGCAAGGCAAUGUCGUCCAACGAUUGAGGGCACCGGGCGAGAUGAGCGCAAAGAAAGCAUUAGUGGACGUGGUGAAAAAAGAGAUAGCAUUGGACCUACAAUGAUGGCAUUACAAGAGAGAUUUUGCGAUCGUAACAGCGACUCUGAUGAAGAUGAUAAAUGGAG
rnacentral:misc_RNA from 1 species